UACGGCCAUAUAUCACGUUGAAGCACCGGUUCUCCUCUGACCACCGAAGUUAAACAACGUCGAGCCUGGUCAGUACUUAUAUGGCUGACCGCACAGGAAUACCAGGUGCUGUAAG